AUUGAACGCUGGCGGCAUGCUUUACACAUGCAAGUCGAACGGCAGCGCGGGCUUCGGCCUGGCGGCGAGUGGCGAACGGGUGAGUAAUACAUCGGAACGUGCCCAGUAGUGGGGGAUAGCUCGGCGAAAGCCGGAUUAAUCCCGCAUACGACCGGGGGGUGAAAGCGGGGGAUCUUCGGACCUCGCGCUAUUGGACCGGCCGAUGGCAGAUUAGCUAGUUGGUGGGGUAAAGGCCUACCAAGGCGACGAUCUGUAGCUGGUCUGAGAGGACGACCAGCCACACUGGGACUGAGACACGGCCCAGACUCCUACGGGAGGCAGCAGUGGGGAAUUUUGGACAAUGGGCGAAAGCCUGAUCCAGCAAUGCCGCGUGUGUGAUGAAGGCCUUCGGGUUGUAAAGCACUUUUGGCGGGAACGAAAAGGACUGUGCCAAUACCACGGUUCGAUGACGGUACCCGCAGAAUAAGCACCGGCUAACUACGUG
rnacentral:rRNA from 1 species